GACGAACGCUGGCGGCGUGCCUAAUACAUGCAAGUAGAACGCUGAAGAGAGGAGCUUGCUCUUCUUGGAUGAGUUGCGAACGGGUGAGUAACGCGUAGGUAACCUGCCUUGUAGCGGGGGAUAACUAUUGGAAACGAUAGCUAAUACCGCAUAACAAUGGAUGACACAUGUCAUUUAUUUGAAAGGGGCAAUUGCUCCACUACAAGAUGGACCUGCGUUGUAUUAGCUAGUAGGUGAGGUAAUGGCUCACCUAGGCGACGAUACAUAGCCGACCUGAGAGGGUGAUCGGCCACACUGGGACUGAGACACGGCCCAGACUCCUACGGGAGGCAGCAGUAGGGAAUCUUCGGCAAUGGGGGCAACCCUGACCGAGCAACGCCGCGUGAGUGAAGAAGGUUUUCGGAUCGUAAAGCUCUGUUGUAAGUCAAGAACGGGUGUGAGAGUGGAAAGUUCACACUGUGACGGUAGCUUACCAGAAAGGGACGGCUAACUACGUGCCAGCAGCCGCGGGUAUACGUAGGUCCCGAGCGUUGUCCCGAUUUAUUGGGCGUAAAGCGAGCGCAGCGGUUUGAUAGUCUGAAGUUAAAGGCUGUGGCUCAACCAUAGUUCGCUUUGGAAACUGUCAAACUUGAGUGCAGAAGGGGAGAGUGGAAUUCCAUGUGUAGCGGUGAAAUGCGUAGAUAUAUGGAGGAACACCGGUGGCGAAAGCGGCUCUCUGGUCUGUAACUGACGCUGAGGCUCGAAAGCGUGGGGAGCGAACAGGAUUAGAUACCCUGGUAGUCCACGCCGUAAACGAUGAGUGCUAGGUGUUGGAUCCUUUCCGGGAUUCAGUGCCGCAGCUAACGCAUUAAGCACUCCGCCUGGGGAGUACGACCGCAAGGUUGAAACUCAAAGGAAUUGACGGGGGCCCGCACAAGCGGUGGAGCAUGUGGUUUAAUUCGAAGCAACGCGAAGAACCUUACCAGGCCUUGACAUCCCGAUGCUAUUUCUAGAGAUAGAAAGUUACUUCGGUACAUCGGUGACAGGUGGUGCAUGGUUGUCGUCAGCUCGUGUCGUGAGAUGUUGGGUUAAGUCCCGCAACGAGCGCAACCCCUAUUGUUAGUUGCCAUCAUUCAGUUGGGCACUCUAGCGAGACUGCCGGUAAUAAACCGGAGGAAGGUGGGGAUGACGUCAAAUCAUCAUGCCCCUUAUGACCUGGGCUACACACGUGCUACAAUGGUUGGUACAACGAGUUGCGAGUCGGUGACGGCGAGCUAAUCUCUUAAAGCCAAUCUCAGUUCGGAUUGUAGGCUGCAACUCGCCUACAUGAAGUCGGAAUCGCUAGUAAUCGCGGAUCAGCACGCCGCGGUGAAUACGUUCCCGGGCCU
rnacentral:rRNA from 1 species